GCGGAUGUGCUGGAAUUGGUAGACAGGCAACGUUGAGGUCGUUGUGUGCUAUGCACGUGAGGGUUCAAGUCCCUCCAUCCGCA
rnacentral:tRNA from 1 species